rnacentral:rRNA from 1 species
AUUGAACGCUGGCGGCAGGCCUAACACAUGCAAGUCGAGCGGUUGAGGUAGCUUGCUACCGAUGCAGCGGCGAACGGGUGAGUAAUACAUGGGAAUCUGCCUGGUAGUGGGGGACAACGUCUCGAAAGGGACGCUAAUACCGCAUACGCCCUACGGGGGAAAGGGGGGGAUCUUCGGACCUCUCGCUAUCAGAUGAGCCCAUGUCAGAUUAGCUAGUUGGUGGGGUAAAGGCUCACCAAGGCGACGAUCUGUAACUGGUCUGAGAGGAUGAUCAGUCACACUGGAACUGCGACACGGUCCAGACUCCUACGGGAGGCAGCAGUGGGGAAUAUUGGACAAUGGGCGCAAGCCUGAUCCAGCCAUGCCGCGUGUGCGAAGAAGGCCUUAGGGUUGUAAAGCACUUUCAGUGGGGAGAAAGGUAAUUCACCUAAUACGUGAGUUAAUUGAUGUUACCCACAGAAGAAGCACCGGCUAACUCCGUGCCAGCAGCCGCGGUAA